rnacentral:rRNA from 1 species
UACAGAGGGUGCGAGCGUUGUUCGGAAUUAUUGGGCGUAAAGGCGCGUAGGCGGCGCCACAAGUCACCUGUGAAACUCUGGCUCAACCAGAGCCUGCAGGCGAAACUGUGGUGCUGGAGUAUGGGAGAGGUGCGUGGAAUUCCGGUGUAGCGGUGAAAUGCGUAGAUAUCGGAGGAACGACCUGUGCGAAGCGGACGCACUGGACAUAACUGACGCUGGAGGCGACGAAAGCUAGGGGAGCAAACAGG